rnacentral:tRNA from 1 species
AGCGCUGUGGUGCAGCAGGUUGAGCCUCUGCCUGGGAUGCUGGCUUCCCACGUGAGCUCGGGUUCAAGUCCCGACAGCUCUA